GUUGAAAUGGUCACGCUCAGAAAAUUGUAACACACACAAGAUGAGAAACUCAUGAGAGAGGCAGACUGGGCCACUGACUUGCUUGCUUUAUUCAUUUUUUUCACUGGACAAGGAGGUUUUGAUUGUGGAUCAUGGGUCAAAAUCAACGCCAGGACCGGAGGCAGAGGAACUUGGCAAACAAUGAUUAUCUUUUUAAAGAAUCCACAACUUGAGAGGGGAGACUGGGCCUCCAACAUCAAGUCUUAACCUUGAGAAAAGAGAAGCAUUUGCCUUAAGGUAAGGGAAUGGGGGGUACAUGUUAGGAAACUUGCAUUGCCUUGAAGGGCUAGCAGAUAUUCAGAGCCACGUGGGAGGAGGCAGGUUAUUCCAGGUGGAGGAAAGUACACGCAAUGAAAUCUGUGCAGUAUGAGAGAACAUGAAUCAUUCAACAUAUUUGUAUUGAUUCUGAGACCUGCAUGUGGACCAGAAGGUUGAGAGCCACAGGCGAGGGUAAGAAUGCUGUCAGGAUGGAAGAGAUACUGGGGCCAGUGCAUGAAGGGCUAAUGCGAGGUUGCAGGACACUCGUGUGGGACUGAGCCACAGAAAGAUUUUAGGAUAGAGCAUCAUAGAAGCAAUAUUUGAUAAGGUAUAUAAUUAUGGCCUGGAGAAUGGGUGCAUUCUAAGGCAGAAACUAUGUGGAGAAAAGAUCUGAGGGAUAGAGCUUUAGAGUUAAGUAACACACACAGGUAUUGCUGGGCGAGAAAACCAGGAAAAAGUAAGCUGAAGGAAGCCAAGAUAAAAGAUUGUCAAGAUGGUCAUGGAAGACAAGGCAGAGGACUGUUAACAAAGUGUCAAGCAUACGGAAGGAGUCCUGUAGAAUACAAACUGAGGUCACCUGAUGUGGCAAUAAUAAAAUCGUUGGUGACCUUUAAAGCAUGAACUUGGUGCAUUGUUGGAAACGGAAAGCAAAUUACAGGGGGUGAAGGGGGAAGUAGGUGGAGAGGAAAUAGAGGUAAUGGGCAUAGAAAAUUCACUUGAGAAAUCUGGCAGAGCUCUUCCCUGGCAAUGAAUGGCCAAAGAGAGAACAGAAUUGAUAGCUAAAUGAAGGAACGUGUUAUCAUUUUCUUCUUCUACAAAAUCCAUGCACCAGCCCAAAUCACCUAAUCUCAGUCCCUGAAUGUGUAUUUGUCAUUUCCUCUUUCUCACUCAGCUCCCUAAAUUGUGUUUGCCCCUCUUCUCUUUUCAUCCAAAAUGUAUCACCCAUUUAAUUUAAGACCAUGCUGGGCAUGCAGUAAAUGUCCAACAAAUUUAAUUGAUUGAAAAGUUUCCUCUUUGCUUCAUUGUUUGGAAUUCCCGUGAAUAUAAGACAAUUCCAAGAGAAAGAAGAAUAAAAAGGAUCAAUGGCAUCUUGGAAAGAAGGAGCAUUUAAGAUCUCUUACAAAGGAGACAUCAUAUCUCAUCAUAUUGAAGGCAUACAUGAAUUUUCUUUUCUUGCUACUUUCUAUGGGAGAUGUGCAACUACAAACUGUAAUUUUAGGCCAAAUCAUCCACUGAGAAAAGGAACAGAGGGGAACAACUCACUUCCCCCGAACCUACCCAAGGAAAAUAAAUUCAUAUUCGGAAUUACAGCACUGUCUUGGGAUGAUAGCUUAAGACAUGCAAAGACCUAGAAAUUUCCCCUCUAUUCCUUCUACAGAAAUAUCUAACACUAAAAAAUCAAUAACAUUUCCAACAAGGGAAAUAAAUGCUGAUUUUGUAUUUGUUAAUUAACAGUAUGUUAGGAGUUUUUAUGUAUGUUAUCUCACUUUCUUCCCACAACAAUCUUGAGAGAAGGGUAAUAUUAGUAUGAAUUCAAAGAUGAGUAAGUUGAAGCCCAGAGAUAUCUGGAAACAGGUCUCAAGUGAUCUUUAAGUCAUACUGCCUCAACAUUGACAUUACUGUUAUAUUGCAUAAUGAUUUUAUCCCAGAGUUUAUAUAAGGAAUCACUAAAAUCUUUAUUUUUCCAAAAAGACUGCUUACUAUAAAUGUUCAAAAGCUAAAAGAAAAGAAGAAAAGAAAGAAAGAAAGAAAGAAUAAAAGAAAAGAAAAGAAAAAAAGAAAAGAAAAGAAGGAAAAGAAAAGAAACCAGAUUCCACUAUUGGUGAGACAACGUGUCAUGGAAAUAUUAGAAAUAUCAACACCAAAAAUAAUAGCAAUGCUAAUGAUGAUGCUACUACCUUUCAUUCUAUCACAUCGUACUUCAACUAUUUUAUAAACCAUUUUUUCCCCCACAUGUGCUCUUAUUCAGUUGUGUGGAACUGAGUGCUGGAAAAUCCAGAAUCUUGCUGCACUGUUUUAAUAAGAAUCUUCUGGUUUGGAAAAUGUGCUGAACUACGUAUGGUAGAAAAGUUUGGACGUAACAAAACCUGUUACUUUCUAUCACAGCAGGCCAAACCCGAACAUGCAGAGAUAUCAGAAGACCAAAGAUGGAAAAUGAGAGCUCCAUCUUAUAGUGGGAGUUGGUCCUGUGGGUUUGGAAUGUGGCUUGUGGGUCCCCAGCUCUGGAACACAGAUGUCAAGUAGAGCUGGCCAGCUCUGGAAAUUUUCAGAGAUUUCUGGCCAGUCUGCUAGGGCCUGGCUGGCUGGCUUUGGGGAGGCCGUACUCUGGGUUCUCCCUGGUCCAGAGAACAGUAAGCAUAGCCAGCUGGCUUCCACAUCUGGCCAAGUUGGCAGAUGAACUGAUUCUACAUUUGGGGGACCGAGAGUCAGAGAGGCCCAUGAUCAGCAAACCCGGGAGCAGGGAAGAAAAUGAUAAAUUAGAAGAUGGAUAGAUUCCAGUCACCAGGGGAAAACUCAAUAGCCUAAAAGGAUGUUCUGUUUUCACAGUACUGACUCAGGUACCGUAGGACUUAUAUAUUAACGAGUUUGGUAAUUAAUUGGGUGGCCAUAGGGAAUGAAUGGGUUUAAAGUCGUAAAAUAUGGACAUCAUAAAGAUUCUGGAGGCCACCUAGCUGAGGUGCUUCUGGAACCUUGACCCAUAGAAACAGUGAGAUAAAAGUUUGUGAUUAAGCCACUAAGUUGUGGGGUAAUUUGUUAUGAAGCAAUAGUGACCCACCUUUACCCACAUGAUUUACCUGUGAUUGGAGUAAAAUAGCCCUACCCAUACAUGCAGAUCUUACAUUAAUGCAUUGUUUCUAUAGACUGUUACGAUUAAAGAAGAUACAGAAGGAAUGAUCAGGGCUUUUGUUUAAAGCAGAAGUUUCUUAACUGGCUGCUGCUAUGGUUAUAAGGGAAACAGAUAUUCCUACUUUUAUUUCUUCUGGACAGAUUCCAUCUGUUUGGAUGUGUGCCAUGGGUAUCCAUCUUCAAAUAAAAUUCAAAAUUCAUACAAUGAGGUCAGAAAAUACUUUGGGAUUCCUCUCACCUACAGUGCAAAAUUAUUUCCUAAAACCAUGUGACUAUCAACUGAAUCCACUUUCAAGUGCCUUACAUGAUUUAUAUUAAUUCUUCUGUUUCACUGGAGAGGUCAAGUACAGAUAAAAAGUACCACUUCUGUGGGAGACUUUCAUUCUUCAUUUAAUCAUGUACAGAUUAUUUUCUCAGCAGGCCAGCUGUGCUUGCUGGGCUGAGUCCAUCUUUCUUUGUACAGAUUCCCCUGUAUUUAUCUUACUUCACCCAUUUGAUCAUAUCCACCCAUUGUCAGGGUGGAUACCACCUUCACCUUGAUUUCAUUCGGACUGUGACACAAUCGCUAAAAUAAAAAUACAUUAUCUGCAUGAGCGCUCUCCAUGUAGUUAAAAGUUAUUUUAUCUACAGGCUAUUAGUCAUUUUAGGUACCAUAUGCUCAACAGCCCCCAAAUUGGGGGAGAAUUUUGGAACUAAGUUUCUUUUUAUGCCUGCCGGGGGACAAACAGCAUUAUUAAAUAGUAUUACCUAUUAAAUUCAAGCAAUGUUAAAGAACGCAUUGCUCAUUCGGUAUUAAACAUAAGAAAAAUAACAACAACAACAAAAUCCCUACAGCGAGCCGUUUUCCCGUGGCACGUACUUUACCUGUAAGAACACAACAGCUUUUUGAAAUAGUUGUUGCUGUUAUAAGCAUUUUACACAUGAGGACAUGGAGGCACAGAGAUGUGAAGUUACUCUUCCAAGGUCAUAUAACUAGUCAGUGGUAGACCUGCGGUUUAAACCCAAGGCAGGCUGGCUCCCCUGCCUGUACUAAUAGCAUCCUCUGCACGAUGUUGUCUCUCAGAAGAAGCUGUGAUUAUGUGCUCUAUAAAUACAGGUGGAACUGUGAGGUUGUUCAGAGUGAACAACGCUUUCUUCUUUUUUUUUAAACCCUUGUAUUGCCUAUCAGUAAGACCCUUGGGAACAGCCUGUGUUUCUUGACCAUGAUUUUAGAACCACUUCCCUAGGCCCCCCUUCCUUGAAAAGCAAAAUUUCCAUUAAGUCAAACCCCAGAUUGGUGCUUGAAAGAUAAAUAAGAAUAUUUUUUGUGGUUGUAUGUGGGUGGGUAGGUCUACGUAGGUGUGGGUGUAUGUGUGCAUACUUAUGCAUAUAUGUGUGUGUGUAGACACAUUGUGUACAGUUCAGAAUGAAGUCUCAGCUUUUUAAAUCAAAACAGUCUCUAAUUGUGGUGGGAGAAUAACACCCACCCCCACCCCUGGCCAGAGAUAUCCACAUCUGAAUCCCUGACACAAGUGAAUAUGUUAUCUUGUUAUCUUACAUGGCAACAGGGAUUUUGCAGAAAGGAUCAAAUUAAGGAUCCUGAGAAGAAGAGACUAUCUUGGAUUAUUCACGAGGGUCCUGAUAAGAGGGAGGCAGAGAGACUGGAAGAUGCUAUACUGCUUGCCGGAAGAUGGAGGCAGGGACCAUGAUCCAAGGAAGACAGGUGAUUUCCAGAACCUGGAGAAAGAGAGAUUAUUCCCUUAGGACUUUCAGAAGAAACCAGCCCUGCAGACAUCUUGAUUUAAUUCAAAUAAAACCCCUUUUGGACCUCGG
rnacentral:lncRNA from 1 species